AGGUCAGCUUCAUUUUCAGAUUAUCCUAAUGGAUACAGAAUGGCUGCAGCAGCUCCAGACCUCACACUGUCAGCUUUAAGUCCAGUGGGAAGUCACCUGCCUCUGAUGUCGAACAGCAGUGUUCCAGAUAGAAGCUGCCCCAGGAGCCUGGGUCCUGCAAUGACAAUGAUGUGGACCAAACCCACAGCUGAGACAAGAUGGACAUGAAGCAUGAGCAAGAAUUAGCCUCUGCCUUUGUGAACACUAGACUUAUUCAGAGCUCCAUUGAACCGGAAGCAUCAUCCCUCACAAACCAGCCUCUCCUCACUCCCCAUGAUGUGGUCCCUGCAGAGGAAGGACAUGUUAUCAUCAGAACUUCUACACUCAGCCUGCAGGUGCCUCCUGCUGCAGCCUGGCCCAUUCCUGUCUGCCCUCCUCCUCGAUGGGAUUUUCAUUCUGGAAAUCAGAAAUAUAUAAAACACAAUUUCCCCUCCAGGAUCCUGGCAUCUGGGGCAUCUCAACAAGCCCAUGUCAAGUCCCUUGUCUGAAUUUGUUGGGAUGUUGUAAAGUCAAUAAAACCUCUAAAGAAAUAGCCCAACAAAGAAACCAGGGUUGUAGACUUUGGGCACAUUUACAUGCUGACAUGUUAACAGUUCACCUCCUUGCACUGCAUCAGGAGAGACAGAGGGCCAGGUGCCUGUCUGUGAUGCUGGGGUGGCCUGGGAUCAGGUGACACCCACAGGUCUCUCCAGGGAGCAAGUGGAAUGUCCCCUGUGACCAGAGGAAAUGGCAAAGGUGGGGACCUGGCACCAGGUGAGCAUCCUGUUCAUCUAUCUAUCACCUGUUGGUUCCUCUCCAUUGAUGACUGAAGCUUGGAUCAAUAAUCAGUUCCUUUGAGGGCUAUAAGAUGGUGACUUUCCAGUUCUACCAUUCCAUCCACGCUGGAUGACUGCCAUUCUCCUGUGUGUGGAGCCAUGCAUGGAGCCUCGUGGGGAGCCUGUGAAGGACAGGUCACACCGCACGUGCAGGUCAAAGGCAAGUCCUGAGUUUAAUCAUCAGCUUUCAAACUAAUGAGGAAUCCUGGUUAUGAAACACCAACACAAAAAAUGUUUUGAGAACAACUGG
ensembl:lncRNA